AUAUAUAUAUAGUCUCAAUAACAAAAGAAUUAUGCAGUGUUAAAGAAUUUCAAAAGCACAACUAAAAAUUAAAUAUGAAUAGAAUUUGUUCUUCUGGAAUAAGAAACUAUUAGGCCAGUGAUGAAGUAAUGGGUGCCACAGUUUAAGGUAGUUAUAUGAACUUGAUAUUUUCUUCACUGAGCUUACUCUAUAACAAAUUAAACCAUUACUGAACAGAGGUGACAGUGAGAAAUACUUAUCCCAGAAUCAUUAUUAUUAGGUUACAGAGAAAGACAGAAACGUCCUAUGGAAUCAAGAAUGAAGAAGAAAAAAUGGACUACGGUCCUGAAGCUAAGCUACUUUUUGAAGCUAUACAGUUUUUUUACCACCAAAAUGAGGUAUCAAAAACGUCAAAAUUUUCUUUAUUUAAAGAUGUAUGUGUGGCUCUACUAAGGAAAUACCUGAACUUGGUCAUGCACAAACUGCUGAUGUGCCUGAGUUCGUUGUACAUUGGUCAUUCCUGCAUGCUUUUGUCUUUAUCAACAUCCAUGUGACGUUUCUAUGUCAACACUUCAAGCCUUCUUCUUCUUCCCAGAGACUUCCUGUUCUCAGUUUGAGACAUUUGCAGCUUUCCUGGAUGACUUGAGGCAUUUUAUUAGCCAUGCUUACUGCACAGAUUAGUCAAGUCUGUCACUCAACAAACCAUGAGUUAAUAAUCUUCGCACCCUGCUAGAUCUUCUCCACUGAAUCAAGGGUUGAACCUUCAAUUAGUGAUGCGGGUUCCCACAGCAGAGCAAAGCACAUACCAAGAAGGUAUUACUAAUACAUGCCACACAUCAUAUACACAUUUGUUUUUAUACUUUACUAUUUCUUUUUGCAGGAUCUUCUCCACUGAAUCAAGGGUUGAACCUUCAAUUAGUGAUGCGGGUUCCCACAGCAGAGCAAAGCACAUACCAAGCACAUACCAAGAAGGUAUUACUAAUACAUGCCACACAUCAUAUACACAUU